rnacentral:lncRNA from 1 species
UUUCAUUCUCUCCCCCAAAUAAUACAUGAUUUAGACAUUAAAACAGAUUCCCACACACAUUCCUUUUAAUAUUUCAAAUACAAUCAUUAAUAAAAAAAUAUCAAAGAAUCAAAUUUCAUACCAAAUUAUAAAUAAAUUCAAUUACAAAAUAUUCAUGAAACAAGGUUACCAAAAGUAUCAUGGAUUUAAAUAUAUCUUAACAAAACUAAAGAAUGCUACUACCAAUACUGCAAUACACUAUCCUAACCUAAAGCAAAGAGACACAGGUCUGCAAACAAAAGCACAAAACCAAAUAGCACCAGCGCCUCAACAAAGAGAUCCCUGACACCGCACCUGCACACAGAGACAACAAAAGUUAAGUACAAAAAUUGCAAAGAAGUGAAAAUGAGCAUAUGGUUAUAAUACAAAGCA